UGGCCCAGGCACUGGAGGAGUUUGCAGUUUCCUUUCCAGAUCAUUUUACAAAUGAGGAAAUGGAGGCCAACGGGGUCCAGCGAGUGGCUUGGCUAGUCAGUAUCUGCGGCCAGAGCCGAAGGCAGGAACAAGAGCCUUCCUGCCUCCAGGUCCCGCUCUGUAUCCCCUGAGCCGGCUUCUCUAGCCUACAAGGAGUGAACCUGCCCUCAGAUCACCCCCGGGGGAUCCCCAAAUAGAGGGGUUCAGGGCGAAUUUGCGAUGGCACUCUUCUUCAGAAGCACCCAUUUAGUGGGGCUUCUGCCCAUUUCUUACCUUCCUUGUACCUAGAGGCGUUAUGGGGGUGGCCAUCUUUUCUCACCCUUGAUCACCCACGCUCCCUCCAGGGCGCUCCUCAGGCCAACUUGGUGGGCUGCUUAAAUCGCCCAGGGCUGGACUCCUCUGGCUCUAGGUGGGGGAUGGGUCAGGGGCUGGCUGCGGACUUCUAGAUCUUUGUGAAUCCUCAGAGAAGGGAAAGUUUUGUAGUGGCCCUGUAGACACCUCUCUUUUAUGAGGUUUUUCUUUUUGGCUCAAAGCUUACCCUUCACUUCACUGCCCUCCCAUUCACCCGGACUGAACAACUUCUCCGUCUCCGUCUUCCUUGGCUUGGCGCUCCCAUCCAUCACACGGAAUCAGGCAGUCACCGAGUCCUGUUUGAUUCUGAACAACAUCUUGUGUCAACUAGAGAAAACACAGAACUAUUAAAUAGUCAAAAUCACUCUUUAAUCAAGGGAAAAGGGGUUCGCGCUACUAAUGCAACAACAGAGCUGAUUUCCAAGACUGCACAGAGUCAAGACGCCCUGGUCACCAGCCCCUGGGAGUGCCACCGACUCAGGAUGGACUCCGAGGAACAAAAGAACUUGGGGAACCUAUAUGCCACUCUAGAUGACCUGGGGGGUUUAGGAUUAGAGGGACAGUUGAUUGACUUUACAAUGGUAAGAAAGGAAAAUUAAGAGUUCCAGACAGGAAUACUAGUGAGGGACUGGGGCCCUACAAUGGACACAAAAGGGAAAGACUCAGCCUAGGGCUGGGUCACCUUGGUCAUGGACCUUAGCCUAGGGGGAGAAACCAUUGGGACAAAAGGGAUGUUCAAUAUUGGAUGGGAUUAGCUGUUCCCACCCAAACUACCAGGAAGUUCGCUGUCUGGGGAAGAGGGACCUUCCCUCAGGGGGAAACUCUCCUGUGACAAGGUCAAAACCUGGGGUUUCUAUACUCAAACUAAAUAAACUGGGGAUCUCUAGAUUUCCA
rnacentral:lncRNA from 1 species